rnacentral:lncRNA from 1 species
AGCAGGCCCAGUGCAGCAGUCCAGCAGCUUCAGCCCAAUAGCAGCAGACCAGUGCCCAGCAGCUCAUAAGUAGCGGCCCACUUCCUGGCAGCCCAUAAGUAGCCGCCCAACAGCAAAAAAGUAAAAAGAAAAGGCCCAUUCUUCAACUCCAUUAUUUUGGGCUUUUGGGUAAAUUUUUUAUCCAUUUAUUUUAGUCCAUUUAUUUAAAUAUUGUAUUAUUUCAAUUAAAUUAGCAUUUUUAAAAUAGUUUUUUUUAGAAAUAUUGUUACAUUUAUUUUACUCGUAUUUUUAAAAACAAAGAAAUAUUUAAUGCAUAAGGCAACGAACCGAUUUAAUUUUAAGUCAUCGAAUUCAUUGCUAUGUUGGGUGAAUAUCGAUUGCUCGUGUUAAAUACGGGACGCCCUUCUAAAAAUCGAAAAUAUUCAAAAUUCCUCGUAUUUUAAUAAAAAUUCUUGUGUUUUAUUAGAAUCCCGAUUAAAUAUUAAAUUGAAUUUAUUUAACACUAAUUCGAUGGUUUCAUCGCCAUGUUGGGGUGAAUACCAUCGAUUCAUGUUAAAUACGGUAUUUUUAAAAAAAAUCGUGUUUCAAAAAUUUUCAUGUCUUCAAAAUUUCUCGUGUUUCAAAAUAAUAAUAAUAAUAAAAUUUCCCGUGUUUCAAAAAAAUAUAUUCCUGUUUCUUUUUUAAAAAAUUCCGUGUUUCAAAAAUUCUCGUGAAUAAAAAAAAAUUUCGUGUUUUCAAAAUUCCCGUGUUUGAAAAAAUUUCGUGUUUUCAAAAAAAAAUUUCUCGUGGAUAUUUUUUUUGAUGUUAUCGUGUUUUCAAAAAAUUCCCGUGUUUGACAAAUUUUUCUGUUUUCAAAAAAUUCUCGUGUUUUCAAAAUUUUCAUGUUUUCGUGUUUUCAAAAAAUUCUCGUGUUUUUAAAAAAAAUUUCGUGUUUAAAAAAAAAUCAUGUUUUCAAAAUUUUCGUGUUUUCAAAAUUUUUCGUGUCAAAAAAAUUCUCAUGUAUCGAAAAUUUCCGUGUUUUCAAAAAAAAAUUUCGUGUUUCAAAGAUCUUCGUGUUUUCAAAAAUUAUUAUUGUGUUUCAAAAUUCUCGUGUUUAAAAACAAAAAAAAGUUUUCUCGAGUUUCAAUCGGAUCACAAUUAAAUAUUAAAUUGAACUUGUAUUUUUGAAAAUUAAGAUAACGCGCGUUUAACGAGAUACCAAUUUUGGGCGUCGCGAGGGUGCUAAUACCUUCCUCGCGCGUAACCGACUCCCGAACCCUAAUUUUCUCUGGAUUUUUACGUGGACCUAAAAUUGCCUUUUUUUGGAAAAGUUUUAAAAAAAAAUUCUUCUAAAAAGAGAUUUUUGAAGGUGUCCGAUCACACCUAUAAAAAAGAUCGGUGGCGACUCCUUUUCUUAAAUAAAAUCAAAACUCCAUUUUCAAAUUUUCAAUAAUCGCUUCGAUUAGUGCCCGUGCCCAAAAUUUUUAGGUCGCUACAAUACCAUUGAUAAGUUAAUAUGAUUUUAGUUAUUAGAUGAUGAAAUUUAGAUGUUGAUGGGUAUUUAAAGGUAUUUUAUUAAGGAAUUUUGGAUGAAAUCAUGUUUUAGGGAUUAAUAUAUAAAGUUGUUGAAUUUAUGAGAAAUUAUGUAAUUUCAUGGAAUUUAUGGGAUGCUAUUGAUAUAUGUGAAAGUAUUUUGGCUUGGAAUAAGGAAUAAAUGACAUGAAUUUCAUUUUCCGAGCCUAGGGAUGAAACCGUCAUUUAGUAAAAGUUUAGGGGUAAAAUAGUAAUUUUGUCUAAGAUGUGACUUGGGUAGAGUUGAAUGUAAAUUGUAUUAAAUUGAUGUUAAAUUUACUCAUAGAUCCGGAUAGAUCAAAUAUGGAGCUUACUCAUAGAUCUGGAUAGAUCAAAUACGGAGCUAUAUCGAGGUAAAGAAAAAGUGACGGAUUAGUAAACAUCAAUUUACUCAUAGAGUUGGACGUGGCAUGUACGGAGGCGAAGGCGCGCGUGCGAUGGCUCGUCACGUGUGGAGGGAGAGCGAGGGGCGUCACUGCUGCAGCGCUGGGAACCCUUGCUAGGGUUUUUGGUGUUUUGGGGUUGAGUUGGGUUUUGGGCUAGGUUAGAAUUUUAGGUUAAGGUUAGGUGACUUGGGCCUUUUG